CUUCUAUCUUCUUCUUUCCUCGUUUCUCUUCUGCUUCUCCUCUGUCUCUCUUCUUCUUCGUUCUUCCUUCUAUCGAUUCCAGUUUAGAGGAUUUGAGUUUUAUAAGAGAUGGUGGUGGUGCUAAUUUGGAUUGAUUAAGCUUUGGAGGAGAAGAAAUUGAUGUUGCUGUGAAUAUGAAGAAGAGAUGAACUGAAUUAGGGUUCUUGAGCCGAUUUGAGAAAUUAUAUGGAUUUAAGUAAUCUGAUGUUUGAUAUGAGUUGCUAAUAGAUGUUGAAGGAUGGGGCGAUUAUUAAUUUGGGUGAUAUGAAGUAGAUCUGAAGAUGAAUCAAGGGUUAAGGUUUCUCAGAAGAUUGUUUAGAGGUUCGAUUAAUGAUGAAUAAGAUGGAAUUAAAGAUGGGAUUUAUCUGAAUUAGAGUUUGUGGUUGAAGAAUAGUUUGGAAUUGGUAAUUAGGGUUUGGUUCUGUUUUGAUGAGGUUUGGGAUUUGAGUUGGAGUUUAAUCGAGAACUAGUAAUGGGUUGAAGGUUUUGGGUAUGGUUCGAGUUGUGCGGAUGAGUCCUGAGUAGUCUUGAGAUGUGUUGGUGAAUCAAAAUCAAAGUGUGAAGCAGAGUCUGAUUCAGUUGCUUGAGAAAAUUUAUCUUGAGGUAAUUGUUUGAUCUGAGCAAAUCUAAUUUUAGUUAUUCAUUUCAGUUUUGAGUUUAUGAAGUUGUUAAUGAUAUUAGAAUUGAAAUGAGUUUACUGAGGUUAGUGACAAUGGUUAUGUAAAAUGAAAUCUAAAGGUAUCAGUUGCAGAUUCUGGUGGUGUUGAAUGUAUUCAGGUUGCAGAUUGUUUAGUGUUUAACUAAGUUGUUGUGGUGGUGGAUGUGGAGAUGAUUUAGAAGUUGGGUUAUUGGAAUUUUCAUGGAUGUGAAUUGGUAUAGGUUAAGACGAAUUACAGGGAGGAUUAUGCUUGGAGUUGGAUUAAAUUUGUUACAUAUGAAGUUUGGAUUUGUCGUGUUGUUGUUUUGUUAUGGAUGUAAGAGUAGAUAUGGGUGUUCUUGAAGACAAGGAACUAGUUGUGAAGUUGGAAUUGUGUUUGGUAUCGUCUGUGAAGUUCUAUUUGUGAUUGAGUUAGUGAUCACAGUACAUGGAGGAGGUCUGAGAUGCAUUUGAAUGAGUGAUGGAUUGUUGUGCAAAUGAAUUAUUAAGCUGAACUUUGUGUUAGUAAGGGAAUGGUGGUAUUUCUGGUAUUGCAGGUGUAAUGGUAACUGGUGGUGUUUGGGGAAUAGAUGGUGGAGCUGCAGUUAAGAUUUAGGUGAAUGGAAUGGACUGGUGUUGAUGAAAUUACAGGGAGUUGAAAGUGGAGUGGUGAAUGACAAGGGUGAUGUAACUGAAUUUGCGGAUUGUACAGGCAGGACUGAAAAGAGGGAUGUUGAAUGGAGACUGAGUUAGUGUGUAACGUGCAGUUGAGUUUGAGUUGUAGUAUUGCUGUCUGGAAUUCUGUAAUGAAGUUGAAGUGAUAGUGAUGUUACAGAGAUUAUGGGAGUGGAGUGUUAGGUUGUUACUUGACCUAAGAUCAUGAUAAUGAACUUGGUAGUGUUUUAGUUGUUGGAAUUCAAAUAUGCUGAUAAGAUGUAUGAGCUGAAGUUGAUUGUAAGGCUGUUAUAGCAAUGGUCUUAGAGAAAGCCUGCAUCUGCAGAUCAAGUUUCAGAAACAGAUCAGAGUGGCGCAGCGAAAGCUUCAAACGUCCAGUUCGUUAGUUAGUUUACUUCUGCUAUGUUUAUUAUGUUGUAUAUUCUUUUGUAAACCAAAUGACUAUUUUAUAUGUAUCAUUUGAGAGGAGUUCUUGUAUAUAUGUAUAUUUCAGAGCGGGGAUAGUUUUUGGCUUAAGUUUUGUAGUAAAUUUCUUAAUUGAAUGUUUAAGUAAAUGAUUUAGAUUGUUACUGCCUCUUUAUUUA